GAUGAAGAACGUAGCAAAAUGCGAUACUUGGUGUGAAUUGCAGAAUCCCGUGAACCAUCGAGUUUUUGAACGCAAGUUGCGCCCGAAGCCUUUUGGCCGAGGGCACGUCUGCCUGGGCGUCACGCAUCGCGUCGCCCCCCACAAUUCUCCGUAAAGGGAACGUGUGUUUUGGGGGCGGAUAUUGGUCUCCCGUGCUCAUGGCGUGGUUGGCCGAAAUAGGAGUCCUUUCGAUGGACGCACGAACUAGUGGUGGUCGUAAAAACCCUCGUCUUUUGUUUCGUGCUGUUGCUCGCAAGGUAAACUCUUUAAAAACCCCAAUGUGUCGUCUCUUGACGACGCUACGACCGCGACCCCAGGUCAGGCGGGACUACCCGCUGAGUUUAAGCAUAUCAAUAAGCGGAGGA
rnacentral:misc_RNA from 1 species